UCCGAGUUGACCCCGGCAGUCUCCUAUGAGUCCCCACCAUUACGUGCUGGCAACAUAGAACGAGGGUUGCGCUCGUUGCGGGACUUAACCCAACAUCUCACGACACGAGCUGACGACAGCCAUGCACCACCUGUAUAGAGCCCGUAAGGACCUCACAUCUCUGUGAGUUUUCCCUAUAUGUCAAACCCAGGUAAGGUUCUUCGCGUUGCAUCGAAUUAAUCAACAUGCUCCACCGCUUGUGCGGGCCCCCGUCAAUUCCUUUGAGUUUCAGCCUUGCGGCCGUACUCCCCAGGCGGGACACUUACUGCGUUAGCGACGACACCGGGAGGGUCGCUCCCCCCGACGUCUAGUGUCCAUCGUUUACGGCGUGGACUAC
rnacentral:misc_RNA from 1 species